GUGGGGAAUCUUCCGCAAUGGACGAAAGUCUGACGGAGCAACGCCGCGUGAGUGAUGAAGGUCUUCGGAUUGUAAAGCUCUGUUAAUCGGGACGAAAGAGCCUAGUGUGAAUAAUGCUAGGAAGUGACGGUACCGGAAUAGAAAGCCACGGCUAACUACGUGCCAGCAGCCGCGGUAAUACGUAGGUGGCAAGCGUUGUCCGGAAUUAUUGGGCGUAAAGCGCGCGCAGGCGGAGCUGCCAGUCUGUCUUAAAAGUUCGGGGCUUAACCCCGUGAUGGGAUGGAAACUACAGAUCUAGAGUAUCGGAGAGGGAAGUGGAAUUCCUAGUGUAGCGGUGAAAUGCGUAGAUAUUAGGAAGAACACCAGUGGCGAAGGCGACUUUCUGGACGAAAACUGACGCUGAGGCGCGAAAGCCAGGGGAGCGAACGGGAUUAGAUACCCCGGUAGUCC
rnacentral:rRNA from 1 species